AACGAACGCUGGCGGCAGGCCUAACACAUGCAAGUCGAGCGAUCCCCUGAUUUCGGUCGGUGGGGAUAGCGGCGGACGGGUUAGUAACGCGUGGGAAUAUGCCCUUUGGUACGGAACAACAGUUGGAAACGACUGCUAAUACCGUAUGUGCCCUACGGGGGAAAGAUUUAUCGCCAAAGGAUUAGCCCGCGUUGGAUUAGAUAGUUGGUGAGGUAAUGGCUCACCAAGUCUGCGAUCCAUAGCUGGUUUGAGAGGAUGAUCAGCAACACUGGGACUGAGACACGGCCCAG
rnacentral:rRNA from 1 species